UACGUAGGGUGCAAGCGUUAUCCGGAAUCACUGGGCGUAAAGAGCUCGUAGGCGGUUCGGUAAGUCGCAUGUUAAAUAUCCAGGCUCAACCUGGGGAAUGCGUGCGAUACUGCCGUACUAGAGAACGGGAGAGGAAAGUGGAAUUCCUGGUGUAGCGGUGAAAUGCAUAGAUAUCAGGAAGAACACCUGUGGCGAAGGCGGCUUUCUGGACCGUUUCUGACGCUGAGGAGCGAAAGCCAGGGGAG
rnacentral:rRNA from 1 species